rnacentral:rRNA from 1 species
GGGGGGGGGGGGGGGGGGGGGGGGGGGGGGGGGGGGGGGGGGGGGGGCGGGGAGGGGGGUGCGCGGAGGUUAGGGGGGGGCGGGUGAGUAAGACGGGGAUAACCUGCCUAGAAGGCUGGGAGAACUGCGGGAAACCGGAGCUAAUACCGGAUGAUAGUUUGAACCGCAUGGUUCCAAAGGGAAAGACGGUCUUGGUGUCACUUAUAGAUGGAUCCGCGCUGCAUUAGCUAGUUGGUAAGGUAACGGCUUACCAAGGCAACGAUGCAUAGCCGACCUGAGAGGGUGAUCGGCCACACUGGAACUGAGACACGGUCCAGACUCCUACGGGAGGCAGCAGUAGGGAAUCUUCCGCAAUGGGCGAAAGCCUGACGGAGCAACGCCGCGUGAGUGAUGAAGGUCUUCGGAUCGUAAAACUCUGUUAUUAGGGAAGAACAUAUGUGUAAGUAACUGUGCACAUCUUGACGGUACCUAAUCAGAAAGCCACGGCUAACUACGUG